CACCGCCCGUCACACCAUGGGAGUUUGUUGCACCGAGAAGCAGGUAGCUGAACCGCAAGGGGGGCGCUUGCCACGGUGUGGCCGAUGACUGGGGUG
rnacentral:rRNA from 1 species